GAUGGCAGCCAGUGCCAUAUCGACAUGGUGCCUUAGCGACUGCACAUGUGCACUAAGGUAAGGGUUGGGGGAAGCCUCUAGUACGGCUCAGAGAGCCAGAGGAGAAGGCUGAAGAACGACAGCAUUAGUGCAGGAAAGCACACUUCAUUCAUUCAUUCAUUCAUUCAUUCAGAAAGGCAUUCCCCCAUAAUCUCUCCCCCAAAGCAAAUCAGGCAGGGCCAGCUCCAGAUUUCGGGGCCCUUAGUCAACUGUUCUCCGUUUCCCAUUUCCACCUGAAUGGGAAAAUAGAGACAUGUUGGAAGGUGUGCAUGAAGCCUAUGAGCACAGAGGUAGUUUAAUGGAUCAGUAAUGGGCCCUUCUGGGGGUCCUCAGCAGUUGCCCAACAAUUAUGACCCUGGCACUGGUUUGGAAAACAAGAGACAAAUUAGGGACACUGUUUUACCAGGAACAGGUAACAAAAAUAGAGACAGGAACAGUUGGAGCAUAAAGACUAUUAGUAUGCUCAUGUUCCUGAGCUGUACAGCUUUAGGCUGCAAGUGGGAGGAGAGCUGGUCUUGUGGUAGCAAGCAUGAAUUGUCCCCAUUGCUAAACAGGGUCCACCCUGGUUUGCAUUUGAAAGGGAGACUACAUGUGUGAUCACUGAAAGAUAUGCCCCUUAAGGGAAUAGGCUGCUCUUGGAAAAGCAUCUUCAUGCUUACAUGCAGAAGGGUUCCAAGUUCCUUUCCUGGCAUCUCCAGGAUAGGGCUGAGAGAGACUUAGGCUGCAAACUUGGAGAAACCGAUGCCAGUCUGUGUAGACAAUUCUGAGGUAGAUGGACCAGUUGUGUGACUCAAUAUAACGCAGCUUCCGAUGUUCCUAAGUGAUUCUAUGUUUGAAUGUUUCCCCAUGAUAACAAAAAAUCUCUGCACAUACAAAACUAGUAUGUCAGAGAGAAGGAUCUUAGCUGAGCCUUCCUCAGACAAACUUGGUUCCUGUGUCCAAAGAGGAGUUUUUCUUUUUAAUGGGAUUGCAUUUAAGCCAUGUUGUCUCUCCCCUGCUACUUGAGGUGAUACAUCUCAGCAAGAGAUAUAGCAGCUGAGGCUUGUUGGUCAUGUUGCUUGGUUCACAGCCUAAUUUCCCCACCUGUAAAAUGGGAAUAAUAGGGAUUUGUUUUCUAGGAUAUUCUGAGGAGAAACACAAUUGCUAUGUGGAGCAUUUUGAGGGUUGAAAGUGCAGUAUAACUGCUUAUAAACAUACUAGGUGUAUGUUCCAAGCUGAACAUAAGAACAGCCCUGCUGGAUCAGGCCCAAGGCCCAUCUAGUCCAGCAUCCUGUUUCGCACAGUGGCCCACCAGAUGCCGCUGGAAGCCUUCAGGCAGGAGUUGAGGGCAUGCCCUGCUGUUAUUCCCCUGCAACUGGUACUCAGAGGCAUCCUGCCUUUGAGGAUGGAGGUGGCCUAUAGCCCUCUGACUAGUAGCCGAUGAUAGACCUCUCCUCCAUGAAGUUAUCCAAACCCCUCUUAAAGCCAUCCAGGUUGUUGGCUGUCACCACAUCUCGUGGCAGAGAAUUCCACAGGUUGAUUAUGCAUUGUGUGAAAAAGUACUUCAGUUUGUUGGUCCUAGAUUUCCUGGCAAUCAAUUUCAUGGGAUGACCCCUGGUUCUAGUGUUAUGUGAGAGCGAGAAGAAUUUCUCUCUAUCUACUUUCUCCACACCAUGCAUGAUUUUGUAGACCUCUAUCAUGUCUCCCCGCAGUCAUCUUUUUUCUAAACUAAAAAGCCCCAGGUGUUGUAGCCUUGCCAUAGUUCCCCCUUCUCCAAAUCCAUGUCUGAACCAGCAAUGGAACCCUCGCAACAACAUUUUAUAUAUUUAUGGGUUAAAACACAUGUUUAUUCUACCUUUCUACCUCAUGAAAGAGUGUUUGAUAGAUCAGAACAUACACACUAAGGUGCUGUCUUAAUAGAGGAGAGGAUAGAGAAGGAGAAGGGGAAUGGAACCACAACAAAAUGUUGCUGUAUAUUCGUGGUGUGCAUGUGUUGCCUGAGCAUGGUGAAAGUUUCAAGCACCUUUCCCCCCUCAGAAGCAGAAGGGUUUGUGACUGUCUUGAGAAAUUUCAAGCUGAGAAAUUCUGUCUCUUUUUGUUCAAGCCCUCCUUCUCCCCUCACUAUUGAGUUGCAUUAGCUCCGUCUACUUGGUUGUCUGUUAACUGCCCUCUGAGUUCGUGUAUAUUCUGUUCCAUAAAGUUGCAUUGGGGCAGUUUGGGGGGAGCUUCACCCCUUGGGCCUUUUUUCUACAGAUUUUUGUAAAACUGAUGUAUUGUGGAUUUUAAGGUUUAAAAUUAUUUUUAUGGAAUUUUAUUGUAUUUUACCUUUUGUAAACCACCUUGGGAUGGUUUGUGAAAGGUGGUACAAAAAUUGAACAAUAAAAAAGUAAAUUUAUUCACACAUGCAUGCACAUACAGUUAUUCACACAUUGGGCUGGUUCAGGCCCACACGAUUAGACAGGGGACAGACUGAGAACGUGCCUAUUGUGAGCAGGGCAGAGCUGUAAUAGUGUAGACGGGUUCAAAGACUGUGUUGAGCGCUGUGUCGGAGAGCCACUGAGCCUCCGGGAACAGCCACUGAGCUCCCUGCUGACUCCUUCCCCUGACCAGAGUUCCUGGCACUUCUGCUGCUGGCCACCUUCAGUCGCCAGCAGCCGCCUCACCAGGCUUGCCAACGUUCCAUUGCCUGAAUACGGGACACAAGAGGGGUGUGUGUGUGUCUUGGGAGCGGGGUCAACUGUGGGUGGGGUCAUCCUGGAAGCCUGAGUAGCAAUGCAUUUGUAACAACAACCACCAAACAAGCCCCAUGAUUUCAUAAAGCUUCUUGUUUGCACAGACCAUCCCACGUAGACAUAGACACGUCCAUCCCAUGUAGACGAACCCCUGCUAACUUGGUAAAGAGGCACCUUUUAACCUGGUGAUGCUCUAUAUUUAGCAGGGAGAGAGUAACUGGCCCUAUCCACCCCCAGCACAGUGCUUCCAGUGACUGUUGCUGGUGUCUAUCUUAUGUUUCUUUUAGACUGCGAGCCCUUUGGGGACAGGGUUCCAUCUUAUCUAUUAUAUUAAUUCUCCUGGGUGUGCCUUGGAAUGUGCGUCUACGGCACCCAGCUGAUUGGCUGGGCGGCCCACUCUCCCCUCACUACACUCCUGAUUGUGUUCCAGGGACAUCCCAAUACCCUUCCAGCAUGUCCCUUUAUUGUAUGGGGUGGCUGUUCAACGGAAAAGCCAUUUAGAUGAAUAGCCGCCACCACCCCAUGUGACAAAGAGGAGAUUACCUUGGCGUAUCCUCUUUCUAAUCACAUGAGCUAGUAAUGUAUUAGAAACAUAGGAAGCUGCCAUAUACUGACUCAGACCAUUGGUCUAUCUAUGUCAGUAUUGUCUUCACAGACUGGCAGCGACUUCUCCAAGGUUGCAGGCAGGAAUCUCUCUCAGCUCUAUCUUGGAGAAGCCAGGGAGGGAACUUGGAACCUUCUGUUCUUCCCAGAGCGGAUCCAUCUCCUAAGGGGAAUAUCUUGCAGUGCUCACACAUCAAGUCUCCCAUUCAAAUGCAAACUGGGUGGACCCUGCUUAGCUAAGGGAACAAGUCAUUCUUGCUACCACAAGACCAGCUCUCCCAUUGUCCAUGGGCUUGAUCCAGCAGGGCUGUUUUUGUGUUGUUACAGACAAAUUAAUAGAGGACAGGUCUAUCAAUGCCUAUUAAUCUUGAUGGCUACAGGCUACCUCCAAGUUCAGAGGCAGGAUGCCUCUGGAUACCAGGAUCAACAGUAGGAGAGAGGACAUGCCUUCAUUUCCAGCUUCUGGGCUUCCCAGAGGCAUCUGGUGGCCCACUAUGGAGAACAGGAUGCUGGACUAGACAGGUCUUGGAUGACUUGACAGGAUAAUAUACAAGCUCUCCAACUGCACAUGCGCACAUCAUCCCUGUCAGAAGGAUGUAGGCAUUUUGCUAGUUAAUAACAACAACAGCAAUAACCAGAGGAAUAGAUGUAGCUCACACAAGUCCCUAAGCUUGGAUAGACAUGUUAACCCUGCUAACUGAGCAAAGAGACACCUUUUAAAGUGGUGAUUCUCUUAUAUUUAGCAGGGAGUAAGCAACUGGCCCUAUUUAACCCCAGCACAGCAUCCCUCCAGUGGCUAUUCUGGUAUCUGCCUUAUGUUUCUUUUUAGAUUGUGAGCCCUUUGGGGACAGGGAUCCGUCUUAUUUACAUCUUAUUUAUUUUUCUAUGUGAACUGCUUUGAGAACUUUGGUUGAAGAGCAGUAUAUAAAUAUUCGUAGUAGUAACAGUAGUAAAUUGGACCACAGCACCAGCAGUUCGCACCAUGGGAACUUAGAUGAUGCUAUAAAAAAUUGUCCUUACUAAAUCUUUUUUUUUUUUAAGUGUAGUGACAGUUGGGAGGAUUUUAUGUUAUCCCAUCCCUCAGUCACUCAAAAUCAGCACCAAAGUGUGAUAGCUCUCAGGGCCUCAGCCCUGAAACUUUUAAGAGCACUACUGUGCGGGCUAAUUAUAAGGAUUCUCUUUCCUGGUAUGAAGGAAUGUAUUACCUGCAGCAAAGGAUGCAUGAGCGGUCAGGAGCCAGGGGGGUGAGGAGGAGGAAGCCUAGCUGAAUGCCACAGUGAACUGAAGUCCUAGCCCUAGGUUUAUACCCACAAUCCAGGCCCCUGCUGGGAGACUAAUCACUGGGCCAUUCUCAUUGCUGUUGUCCAAUCAAUUCCUGAAUAGCAAAACUUCACAAUGCAGAGUAUGAAUUAGAAGGAGGGGUGGGUGGGGUGGUGGAAAUAAAUGUGGGUGCAGACUUUUUUCUUUCUUUCUUUCUUUCUUUUUUUUUUUGCAACAAUACCAAACCGAGCCUUUGAGAGAGGACAACGGAUGGACAAAGGCACGGCGGAAAUAGGAGUAACUUUUGGAGGCCUUCGGAGCUCUUGUCAAUGAGAGUUAGCGCCAUAAUGGUCGCAUUGGCCCCUCUUUUGUACUGCAGAGCCAUUGUUUGGGAGGUUUUUUUAAAGCCAUAAAAUGGGACAUUUUUUCUUGUUGUUGUGCUUGUCUGGAAAAUACUGGCUAUUGCCCUGAAUUGGACCAAACGGUUCCUCCUUAUGUGUUGGGUAGAUUUUUGUAAUUAUUCAGGCCCCAUUUUCCACAGCUGUUGGAGGAAAGGGUGGCUCCUACAGACUAAAACAGUUCAACGCCUUUGUUUGGGAGGCCAAGCACCAAGGGCCAAGCUGUGAAAUUAAAGAUUAAGUUCAUUAAGGGCUGAAAUGAAAUUUUAUCUCGGAUUGGGGUCUGAUCCUGCUCAGCAGAUGUCAGUCACAAAAUAUCCAUUGACUUUGGCAGCAAGUUGAUCUGUCAUGGUUUUUUCCAUCAGUUUUCCGGCUACAGAUGCCUUAGGAGAAAAGGUGAAUAAGCUUCAGGAUGUGGCAAACAAGAGACCUGCUAACUAACAGGAAAAUCUGCUGUAUCAAAGAGUUUUUUGUUUAGACCCAAAAUAAUUCUCUUCCCCCCACCCACUCCCCUCCCUAUGGUUUUUGCGACAAACAAGCAAGGGAGCUGAUGUCUUUGCAAAGGGGAACCGCUGAAGUGACUUGUAAUCUACCAGUCACAUUUGUAUAAGCAUCCCAUUGCCAACCUCAUAUGAUGUGGGGGGAAAUAUGAGUCCUGAUGGCUCCAGCAGACAGGAGAGGAAAGGAAAGGCAUUCAAUCACUUCCAGAAGCCACUUUCAUUCAAGAAACUUGCACAACUACAACUACAACAAAUAUUUACGAUAAAUAAUGAAGAGAAAGCAGAAGUACUGUAUGGUGAAUUUCUUACUCAUAAAAGUUUUCUAAAUAUUAUGUACCAACCCCAAAGUGUCAAGAUUAAACCUUUCCACUUGUGUUUUGGUGCCUCAG